AUUAGGUUUUACUCUGGGUUGUGGAAGUUCGUCCUUCGUUUCUUCCAUUUCAAUGCUGAACCUGUUUGUGGUACGUUGUCGAGGUUGUUCGAAAUUCGUAUUGAGAUGAAAGUGGAAUGGAAGUGGAUCAACACCAAAGUUGCAAUAUUAUAACAAGGUUAUAAUUUUUCAUCUCAACCAAAAACCUUAUAUAAAAAGAAGAAUUAUAACAAGGUUAGAAAGUACAAUUAUAUUUUACUGUAAUGUUUAGUUAUUCUAAGAAAACUACAAAUUUAAAAAGCAAAGUUGUAUAUUUCUAUGCAUCUGUGCCGAUCUGUUAAGCUGUAAUGAUGAUAACUUGCCAAUUUCUCACGAUGGUCUUCUGAUUCUUGAUGAGAUUUACAAUUGCUGAUAUUUUUCAUUACUCUACAAUAAUCGAUUGGUAAUUUCUUUGGCUGAAUAUUGUUUUUUGUUUUUAGAUGAAGCUAAAAUGGGAAAAAAUUAAAACAAAGUUGCUACAAGAUUGUGGUGAUGAUAACGUACUUAUUUCUCACGAUGGUCUUCUGAAUCUUGAUGAAAUUUUCAAUUGCUGAUAUAUAUCAUUGCAAUUAUCGUAGAAUGAAGUAGUGAUAGCUUUGGCUAAAAAUACUCCUUUUAUUUCAGAUGACAUUGCAAUUGGAGAGAAAUGGACAAAAAAAAAUUAUCUAAGAUUAUUUCUUUCUACUAGACGUUUGACUGGAAAUCAAAACUUUGCUGUUUGCAGAUUAUUUCUUUCUACUAGACAUAGACUGGAAAUCAAAACUUUACUGUUAGGAGGAAUGAAAAGAAACCAGAAAGAAAAGGGUUGUUUGCUGUGAAACUGAUUUUUCUAUAAGGUUCUGGAAGAAAGGGGUUAUAAAAAACUGUUACCAUUACCAAGUUUUUGAAGGAUGAUCCAAGCAAAAAAAUCUUAAAACUGCAGAUAUGGAUCAAAAAUUGGCUUUGCUAAAAGGUACUUAGAUCUUCGUUGGUGAACUGAUUGCAAUACUGGAUUAGAUGCAGUUAUAAAAAACUUAAUUUGAUUGUUGUUAAUAAUUAAACAUUCUGAAGGAUAAUUUAAAUUUUAUAAGACACAAUUUAUGCUAUUGAAUAUGACACUUACAAAGGACUAGAUUGAUUUGCAAUAAAAACAUUUUUAAUUAUGGAAAACUUCGUAAAUAACAGAUUUUACCAACCACUCUUACAUUGAGAGACAUGUACUCUAAUAUUCCACAUUGAGAAUCGUGUUGUAAUUUUCAGCCUGAUGAUUAAAAUUUAAUGCUCAAAAUCCUGAUGGCUGCUAAAAACAGUUUGCCAUCACCCCCAUCGCAAUGAUUUCUACUGUUAAUUUUGUGUAAUGAAAUAAAAUGUUGAUUUUUUUCCUUC